AAGGGACUGUCCAAUGGAUUAUGGUCUGAACAAAAUAUAAAAUUAUUGUUUUAGAUAUUAAAAACGAUUAUCGCCUUUGAUUUAAGGAUAUAAAAACUCAAAGCAGACUAAAGGAAGUAUAACACAAACCAACACAUAAGCCCAAGCGGAUGGGAAUUCCAUAUUAUAUUUCAAAAACGCCGCUCGACGUUUUUGACCUAAAAAUAAAUGUAGCUGAAAAUCAGCUGACAAGUCACGUGGUACAUGGUACUGUCAUUUAUUUUUGGCAUAGAAAUUACAUUAUUUCUAAAGAAAGAGAUUUAGCUUGUUGAGCAAAUAAUUGAUUUUCAUUGAAUAUUUUUGAUAAACCAAUAAAAUAUACUUCAUAUUUAAAUCAAUAUUUUUAUUGGAAAAUCACUUUUCACAAAUACGAAUAUGCGGUCGAAAAGAAUUCAAGAUGGUUCGGACAAAAACAAGUGCUAGCGCUAAGACUAAAAAAAAACAAGAGAUGCAAGGUACAGGCGUAAUAAAAGGGAAAGGAUAAUAGACAUUGGUAUUCAGUGUGAUCGAUGGAGAAGAGUUAAAGAAGCUACUGGGAUUGAAAAGGACGAGAAAAUGAUGGAAAUAUUGAUCGAUGCAACUACUUCUGAACUAGAGAGCUUCAACAAUCAUCUUUUGAUACGCUCCAAACCAAAGCGAAAUGCUUUCAGCUGUGCAGGUGUCAGUUAGCAGCAAUAGAUUAUUCAAAACACUUGAAUCGUCCUGUUUUGUUGGACAAAGAAGGAAAUGAGAGGAGAAAAAAGGUGUACUCAAAAGCUGCUUGUAAUUGGAGCACAAGGCCUGUGAAAAAAACAUACAUAACCGGUUUGAUCACUGAAGUUAUAAAUGAAUUCACCAUAGGCAAGAAAAGAAUAAGUGGCAAAUGUGAACAGCUGCCUGAAGACUCCAAAAGAAUUAGGUCAACUAUAGCCCCCGUCACCCCUCCACCUACAUCAAUACUUGGAGAUCAGCAUGUCUCUAGAUUGAGAAAAACGAAAAAAUGAAUUGUUGCCCAAGACGUGUUUGAUAUUCAUUUGAAGUUGACGCAGAAGUUAUCUUUGUUAGAUAACUAUUAAGUUUCACAUCUUUAGUGUAAAUAUAAUUUUAGAAGUGUUUUGAAAAUGUACAAUCUUACAUUAUGUUAUAAAUAAUGAAUGCUCUUGGUUGUACAAUGCAAUUACAUUUUUUAGGAAGUUUUAAUAUUGAAUUUAGCAUAAAAUAUUUUUUUUA